GUAGAGUGGGAAUGAUUUAUAAACAUGAUUUGAAGUGAAAUGGUUGUUUUAACAGCACUUUAGGUUAUUAUAAAAGGUUAAAAAUCAGUCAAAAUUGAUUGGUUCCCCACCAAAAGCCCCACCAGAAUUUUUUUUGGUGAGGCUUUUUUA
rnacentral:sRNA from 1 species